rnacentral:rRNA from 1 species
GACGAACGCUGGCGGCGUGCUUAACACAUGCAAGUCGAACGGAAAGGCCCUGCUUUUGUGGGGUGCUCGAGUGGCGAACGGGUGAGUAACACGUGAGUAACCUGCCCUUGACUUUGGGAUAACUUCAGGAAACUGGGGCUAAUACCGGAUAGGAGCUCCUGCUGCAUGGUGGGGGUUGGAAAGUUUCGGCGGUUGGGGAUGGACUCGCGGCUUAUCAGCUGGUUGGGGGGGUAUUGGCUUACCAAGGCGUUCACGGGUAGCCGGCCUGAAAGGGUGACCGGCCAUGUGAGGUCUGAUAUACGGGCCUGGCGCCUACAGCCGGCAGAGUUGGGUAAUAUGGCAGAAGGAGCAGAUACCUGAUUCGGAAAUGCCCGGUGCGGGGAAAAGUCCUUCGGGUUAAGAACGGCUUUCGACUGUUUGUUAGCGAGUGUGACGGUAAUGGGUAGAGGAGCAACGGCUAGCUACGUG